AUGGGUGGGUUGAGAGUCUUUAAUUCUGCAUCACCAGGAGCCCCCAGAGCGCCACGCCCACCCCAGGCCACGCCCGGAUCCGGCGCCUCAUUCCCAUCUGCCCUUGUUCCCUCAGGGCUCCGGGUGGCCGUGACCCUGCUGGAGUCCGGGGGGGACCUCCAGCCCCCCGGGGGGUCCCUGACUCUGCUCUGCCGCGCCUCUGGGUUCAAUUUUGGGAGUUCUGAGAUGAGAUGGAUCCGCCAGAGCCCCGGGAAGGGGCUGGAGUUUGUGGCGCUGAUCAGCGGCGAUGGAGGUCACACCUUCUACGGGGCAGCGCUCCAGGGCCGGGUCUCCAUCUCCAGGGACAACGGGCAGAGCUCAGUGACGCUGACCAUGAACAACCUCAAGGAGGAGGAUUCUGGUGUCUAUUUCUGUGCCAAAUCUGUGGACAGUUGUUGUGCUGGCAUUGCUGCUGUGGAUGAUGUUGGCAGCUUUGGCCCCGUCCCCACCUGA